rnacentral:rRNA from 1 species
GACCCCGCACAAGCGGCGGAGCAUGCGGAUUAAUUCGAUGCAACGCGAAGAACCUUACCAAGGCUUGACAUAUAGAGGAAAAGUGCAGAAACUGCACUCCCGCAAGGUCUCUAUACAGGUGGUGCAUGGUUGUCGUCAGCUCGUGUCGUGAGAUGUUGGGUUAAGUCCCGCAACGAGCGCAACCCUCGUCCUAUGUUGCCAGCACGUAAUGGUGGGAACUCAUGGGAUACUGCCGGGGUCAACUCGGAGGAAGGUGGGGAUGACGUCAAAUCAUCAUGCCCCUUAUGUCUUGGGCUUCACGCAUGCUACAAUGGCCGGUACAGAGGGCUGCAAUACCGCAAGGUGGAGCGAA